CAUCAUGCAGAAAGCGUGAGACAGCAUAAGCAAACGAAAACGAAGUUGAACAGCGCGAGAGCUCGCGGCUCGUGACGCCGCGAUAGGCCAUCCACCGACGCUGUUUGAUUUCUUAGUCAGCACGGUGCAAGGUUCCGCGUUUCACGGGAAGGCACGUGACUCGAAGCAGAAGAGCAUCUCGGAGCACCACAAAAAUCGUUCCGCGAGGCGCGCAGCGAGCGUCAGCGCAUCCAUGUAAACAAUCUUACGUCACCGGGUGCCAUUUCCGCGACCACGCGCUCCCAUGCAUUGGAUAGGCCGGUAAGCACACCAGUCCUUCUAGCUCACCAUAGUUACUUGUUGGCUCAGGAGCUACCUUGCUGCCUGGAAGAGGAGCCCAGAGAGCUGCAGGACGAAAACAUCAGCUCCACAACCAUCACUCUCCCGGCAUUGAUCUUAGUUAUCGCCCUAAGCAUAGCCGCGGCAGUCACUAUCGGGGCUUUCCUCUACAACAACAAGGGGCAUGCGACGCCCAAAGAGAAGGACAACGCAUCAGCUCCUGGACACGUAUCGAUGCCGAAAUUCCCGCAGAAGCCCUAUGACGCCACCAACGAAGACUACACAGACAAUGAUGAUGCAUCGGCAGAAGGUACAUCCCCGACAUACAAAAAAGUUUGCAACACCGAUGACUGUCAACACGUUCGCAAGUUAAAGUACCUUUUUAGAAAAGCAAGUGUCACCUGUGACACGCAAGGGGUCAUGGCAACUUACAGCGUCUUCCAGCUUUACGAGGCUGCCAGAGGCGGAGGUAGAAGAACAACAACAUUCCCGGUGUGCGCAGCAGCAGCAUUCAGCCGGGGUAAACCAUAACCGAAGCAGACGACAGGGCAGUGUCGCUCAAAGUUCCCACGCUGCUUUGCGCCGCUCGCUUGGUGGCGCGCAUCUUUGUAAAAUCGUGUUUUGAAGCAGUUGUGGACACGGACAGAAAUCCGUGUGACAACUCCUACAAGUUCACCUGCGGAAAAAAUUAACAGCUGCUUCCCGUUGUGUCCCACGAUGAACUUGGAAAAGAUUCAGUCGAUCAAUCCGUGUGGAAAUCUAUAAAGCAAAAUCUGGAGAGGGCACACAACCCUCCAAGCGGUACAACAGCAUUUCAAAAGUCUGCCGCACUGUACAAACACUGCAUAGAAACAGACGCUAACAAGUCUGCAAAAGAUGCCAGACAUUUUUUGGGGGAACACCAGAUGGAUAUAACGAAAAACAUGUCAUUCAAGUCGUUGGACAUAAUGGUCAAAUUUAUAUUUAAGAUUAACAUUCCCGUGCUGUUUGUCGAGGCGGAUGCUCGAACUUUCACGUUUCGGAAAGAAACAGAACCGCCAAAUACUAAAACACCUGGGUGCUGCAGCAAUUAUGUCCGACGUGUAUUCAGCGCUAGUUGAUGACACCGUGGUGAAAACUAUAACAAGUCUAAAGAAAAAGUUUCAUGGAGCUGGUGCAACGUCAGAGAAGUGUGCACCGAAUAUCAAACGCCAGCGUCAGGGUGAUGGAAUUUCGUGAAGUGGCUCUAGAAGAGGACGAGUUGUCUAAAAAUAUGAGUGAGACACUCCGGCGCUUCGCACCACCUGCGCUGCAAACGAAACUCAUACACACGACAGAGGAUGCGUUGCAGUUAUUCUACCGCCUUUUCGGGAAGCAAAGGGACCUCUGGGAAAACGAAAUGCGAGUAUUCUUUGCCUGGAGGGCUGCCGUUUACUUUUUUAGCGUCGUUUUCGGUGGCACCAUAGAUUGCCUGGGAAACCACCUUACGGAAACUUCCAAGCGCCGUAGCCCAAGGAGCGUCAUUUAAAGUUGCCCGUGGAGCCUUUUUCAACUCAGCCACCGAAAGAUGAAAGGUGCAAUCUUCCUCUCACGAACUCUGCGUAUUUCAGCAAAGCCUUCUCUUGCCGUGACGACUCGCCGAUGAAUCCACCGCAAAAUGUUCCGUUUGGUAGUUCCGGCACCUAAAAAUGAGCUGGAUGAUGCAGAAGAAAUUCGGUAAAUGAAAUCCGAACAAAUGUUUCA